rnacentral:rRNA from 1 species
ACGAACUGUGCAAACGUUAUUCGGAAUCACUGGGCUUAAAGGGUGCGUAGGCGGAUUUGAAGGUCCGAUGUGAAAGCCCACGGCUCAACCGUGGAAUUGCGUCGGAAACCACAAAUCUUGAGGGAGUCAGAGGUAAGCGGAACUGAUGGUGGAGCGGUGAAAUGCGUUGAUAUCAUCAGGAACACCGGUGGCGAAAGCGGCUUACUGGGACUUUUCUGACGCUGAGGCACGAAAGCGUAGGGGAGCAACGGGAUUAGAUACCCGAGUCC